AUUCCAGCUCCAAUAGCGAAUACUAAUUCUGCUGCAGUUAAAAAGCUCGUAGUUGAACUUCUGGUAGGACAGAUCCGGCCUUUGGAUGAAUGUCCAUUGUAUGCUGUGUGUCUUGUCUGGCCAUCCUUUAUGUCUUUUAGGCGUAAUCUUUCACUGUAAAAAAAUUAGGGUGUUUCAAGCAAAAGUUAUUUGGAAUAUAUUAGUAUGGGAUGAUAAGAUAGGCUCUUGAGUGCUACUUUGUUGGUUUCGAACACCGGAGUAAUGAUUAACAGGGACAGUCAGGGGCACUCGUAUUCCGCCGAGAGAGGAGAAAUUCUCAGACCAGCGGAAGACGAACCACUGCGAAAGCAUUUGCCAGGGAUGUUUUCAUCG
rnacentral:rRNA from 1 species